GCACACCAUUUCACUUCCUCCAAAUUCUCUCUCUCUCUCUCUCUCUCUUCUCUCUCUCUAACCAAAACCAUGGCGGUUCGAACGGCGUUGUUGUCGAGGCGACAAGUGAUGAUGAUGAUGAUGAUGAGGUCGUUGGGAGCGCGAUCCAUGUCUUCUCCAUCCUCGUGGUGGCGAAGCGUUGAGCCAGCCGCCAAAGACCCAAUCCUGGGCGUGACUGAAGCUUUUCUCGCUGAUCCCACCCCUACCAAAGUCAAUGUCGGAGUGGGUGCAUAUCGUGAUGACAACGGGAAGCCAGUGGUGCUUGAGUGUGUCAGGGAAGCAGAAAGGAGGAUCGCCGGAAACAAGAACAUGGAAUAUCUUCCCAUGGGAGGGAGUUUAAAGAUGAUUGAGGAAACAGUGAAGCUUGCGUAUGGAGAGGAUUCUGAUUUGAUUAACGAUAAGCGUAUAGCGGCAGUGCAGGCUCUUUCUGGGACUGGUGCUUGCAGACUUUUUGCGGACUUUCAGAAGCGUUUUUGCCCUGAUUCUCAAGUCUACAUUCCAGUCCCUACCUGGUCCAAUCAUCAUAACAUCUGGAGAGAUGCCCAUGUCCCUCAAAGAACAUACCAUUAUUAUCAUCCAGAGUCGAGAGGGUUGGAUUUUUCUGCACUGAUGGACGAUAUUAAGAAUGCUCCAAAUGGUUCAUUCUUUCUGCUUCACGCUUGUGCUCAUAAUCCUACUGGAGUCGACCCUACCGAGGAGCAAUGGAGAGAGAUUUCCUACCAGUUCAAGGUCAAAGGUCAUCUUGCAUUCUUUGAUAUGGCAUAUCAAGGUUUUGCUAGUGGUGAUACAGAGAGGGAUGCAAAGUCUAUUAGGAUUUUCCUUGAGGAUGGUCACUUAAUUGGAUGUGCUCAAUCAUAUGCAAAAAAUAUGGGGCUCUAUGGCCAAAGAGUUGGAUGCCUCAGCGUGGUCUGUGAAGAUGAAAAACAGGCAAUAGCUGUGAAAAGUCAGUUGCAGCAGCUUGCCAGACCCAUGUACAGUAAUCCACCCGUGCAUGGUGCCCUCAUUGUUUCAACUAUACUUGAUGAUCCUGACCUCAAGAAGUUGUGGCUCAAGGAAGUUAAGGGCAUGGCUGAUCGGAUAAUUGGAAUGCGAACAGCUCUGCGAGAAAACCUUGAAAAGUUGGGGUCACCACUAUCAUGGGAGCACAUAACUAAACAGAUUGGCAUGUUCUGCUUUAGCGGGAUGACACCUGAACAAGUUGAUCGCUUGACUAGUGAAUUCCAUAUUUACUUGACGCGCAAUGGUCGUAUCAGCAUGGCAGGAAUUACUACAGGGAAUGUGGGAUACUUGGCUAAUGCCAUCCAUGAGGUGACAAAAUCUACUUAGGUAGUCAAUACAAGAAUACAUAGAGCUCAGUGUAAUAAUUUAAGGGUCAGCAUCUUGACUAUCUCGAGAAUUUUUGUUUUGGUCCUUUUAAUCCAACUGAGAUCAGGCAGCAGUUGUGCUCGUGCUCUGCUGCUGCUUGCCCGAUCAAACAAGAUAUGUACUUUUUGAGGGUGGUGUUAUACUUAAACAUGCCUUAGAUUUGUAGCAAUAAUUUGCUCCCUCCAAAA